CAAAAUGUAGCUUAAUUUUAAAGCCUUUCGCUUACACCGAAAUUAUAUCCGUGAAACCCUGAUCAUUUUGA
rnacentral:tRNA from 1 species